CUGGCCUGGGGCUUCUAUUACCUGGUCAAGUCCUUUACCACCACGCUGCCCUGGGCCACAUGUGGCCACACCUGGAACACUCCCGACUGCGUGGAGAUCUUCCGCCAUGAAGACUGUGCCAAUGCCAGCCUGGCCAACCUCACCUUGGGACCAGCUUCUUUGCUGGCUUCGUGGUCUUCUCCAUCCUGGGCUUCAUGGCUGCAGAGCAGGGCGUGCACAUCUCCAAGGUGGCAGAGUCAGGGCCGGGCCUGGCCUUCAUCGCCUACCCGCGGGCUGUCACGCUGAUGCCAGUGGCCCCACUCUGGGCU
rnacentral:lncRNA from 1 species